GUCUAUGUAGUAUAAUAAUUACACUGGUCUUGUAAACCAGAAAAGAGGAAUAAACUUCCCCCAAAGACU
rnacentral:tRNA from 1 species